GGGAGAGAGGAAGAAGGGGUGAGAGGAGAAACCUGCCGCCGCUCGCCGCCUCUUUGUCUGCUCUGGGACUUGGAACAAAAGGGGGAACUCUGAUGAACUCUCUCUCCGCCCCUCUCCCCCGGACGCGCGGGUAUCUCCCUCUCGCAACUUUGCCGCCGCGACUUUCUCCGCUGUCAGGCCACACAAAAGUGUCCGAACGCCUCGAGGACCGCGACAAGGGAAGUGUCUCUUCAAAGUGCGACCAAGUGGGGAAGAAGGUGUGAUUACUGUGGUCAGCAUCUAGAAAACAGAAGCACUCCCGCCUCCUCUGUGCUACAUCCUUCUUACUGGAUCUUUCUAUCAGUGAACAUUGUGGAAGUACCAUUACUACAUCGUCAUUCCUGAAGGAAAAGUUGCCAAACUUUUUUCUUUGGAGUUGCUUCAAAGUUGUUGGGAUUUUUGAUGAUGCCUCCCCUAUGUGGAUUACUACUGUUUGAACACUGGGAAUUCUCCAUCUUAAAGAAGCGCUCCCAGGUGACUACAGAAGCCUCGACACCCAGCGUGGUCAGGAGCUGUGGAAUCCGAGUGCGGCUGCCAAGAGGAAUCCAGAAAAGCCAAAGAGCCCAAGCAUGUCAGACCUUCCUGUAGCCACACACACACACACCUCAAACCCCAAGGAAGUGAGUGAGAAUCACAGGCAGGGAGACAGCCAACCAGGAUCUCGUCCCGGAUACCGCACUACAUUUGUUCGUCGUGUCUAAGACACCUUCGAUCUAUGACUGUUUCUCUGACAUGUUUCUGAUGACCUUUACAGUUUCACGGAGUGCAGCUCCAGGGCUGCAUCGCUGUGGGCACGCCAAGCUUCUCCUGGUUACCUGAGCUGCUGUUGCUGUCUCCCGGCUUCGGCUUCUUCAUGGCGCACGGGAACCCAGCAUCAUCGGUCUACGCAGCGCAGAACAAGGACCUGCUGGUGGAGCUCUGGCCGGGGUCCCCUCGCAGGCAGGCGAGGGGACUCGGAGGACAGGGUGAUGCGGGAGAAGACCCGGGGUGGGAUGGAUAGAAAGAACGCCAAGGACCGGGCAGGAGAAGUUAGGAAUUUGAUCCGUCCAAUGCCCACUGGUCUUCCCCACGGCGCACCCAGCUCAGGCUGCUCUUGGGGAUUAGUCUGGGAGGAAAGACCCAUGGCGAGAUGUGGUGGCAUUUUACUUGAGAGUGGAGCUGAAGAUGGAUAAACCUGGUCUCUGAUGUGUCUGCCUGCCUGCCGACGAGGCACAGUUGGAGAAAGGCAGAGCGAGGGAGCGCCUGAGAAGAAAGAGGAGAGGCGGAAUGCCGUUCGAUUGUCUGCCGCUGGCCCUGCAUUCUCAUUCUAGGGAGGAAGGCAUAAUUUAUAACCCAGUCUAUGGGUGGAAGAACUGUAAAUUGUAGUCUGGAUGUCCCCGGUGCUGUCAAGGAAGAAACUGAUGAGCUAGGUGACUGUACCAGUGUCCCCAGGGAGAAGAUCAGCCUUGCAGCAUGGAUUUAAAUGCAUGUGCAUGCAUGUAGAGACAUGAAAAGAGGGCGAUUUCUGACCAGUUUACACAGGAAGUCUGUCACUUGGCUGGAUCGGGCUUGAUUGCAGCUUGUAUUUUCAGCUUCAGCUCAACACCCAUUUCCUGACUAGCUAGAGAGCAUGGCCAAAGCAGCUGCAUGCAGAAUUUUCUUGUUAAUGUGAAAGCAACCCUCCUCAGCUUUAACUCCUUGAAGUUCUGAAUGCUCUGUGCUUCGCUCGGACUGACUGUAGGGUUUUGUUUGCUUCUUCUUCGACAGAUCCCCUGUAAACACAGCUGUAUUCAGUAUGAUGAAAAAUUCUAUCCAGUAAAUAGAAAUCUGAUCAAUUUAAUCAAAAUAAAUGUAUCCCAGAUGACUUUGAGACCAGCUGGCUACCACAGGCUUCAGAUGCUAAGCGUACAAUGGAGAUGAAUGCAAUCUUAUAUUUACGUGUUUCUGAAUUCCCGGAUCAGCCUAUAAUUAAAAAAAGAAAUCCUUUUGUAGGAAAGAGGUGGUCCUACCAGCUCUCAAGGUAGCUGGUUAGAUUCAGGUGCGGAUGUUGUUCAUGAGAUUUGGGAUCACGAUGUCGCAUUUCGAGGGCGUGUGCCAUGUGGCAGAGCAGAGUCAUGCUCCACAUAGAGAAAGCCUGCAUCUACCUUGCCAUCUGGAGACGCGGGUGCCCUCGAAACAGCCUCUGGUGAGGUUGGGGGAGGCACCUGAAGCUUGUUUUAGAUUCCGAUGUGUGGGCUCUGGUGCUCCAAGCCCAGCUCAAAACUGGGGGUGAGGUGCUUUCCCAGUUGUCAUGGGGAGCUCUUCUGGGACGCCUGUCUGGCCCUUCCACUGUUUGUUACUAUUUCUACAAAGGCGGCUCUGUGUGUUGGAUUAUGUUUGGCCAGCUGUUGGCGCAUUCCUGCGGGUGGGGCUGGGUGGAGACCUGAUUACUGUACUUGGAAACUGUAGAUCUCUGUGCGGUGGAGAGCAGGGAGGGAAUGCAAAGAAAGCAGGUUGGAGAAGCUGAUCUCUCUUAGAGAUUUGCUCCAGGUAGUUCUACAGCACGUGCAGAAAGGCUUCCAGUGUAGAGAAGGAAAGAGGGGAUGAUGCGGGGCGGGGAGCAGUGAGGGAAGGAGAAUGCAACUGAGCAAGCCCAUCAGAGAGAAAAACAGACUUUAGAACUUCAAAGCUGCAUAGACAAGCAGAAUGUCAGCAGCUUGUAAUUAGUGGUUCAUGGUUGCGUCAGCGCCUGCACCUCUCCAAGAAUAACUGUGUGAUGUGUGCCACAGAGUGAAGAAGACAGUCAUAACUAAGUUAUCAAACCUAGUUCAAACCAGGGCAAAUGGAGUCAGGAAUUUUUCUGUGUUUGUAAAUCAAAUCCUGAUGGAUUACACGUCUAAGACUUGCUGGGUUCUGCAUAAUUGAAGGCUGGAUUAUCCAUUUAUGGGGGAGGGUGGAGGGAUAUUGUAUGUUCAUUAAACGAAACUAUGAACCCUUAAAAAUGCAGAUGAAUCGUGCAUGUAAAUAUCAGCGCGCUCUGCGUCAAUACACGGUAUUUCCUCCAAUAGCCCCAAGCAGCUGUUGCCAAUCUCCCCGAAUCUCUGCAUCCACACAGAGUUUUUAUUUGCUCGGUUUUUGUGCAUUCACGUGGAGAGGAGUUAAAAGUUACAGUUCAGAUGAAAUAGGGUCAAUUAAAUGCGAAAAAUCGCAUCUUGGAAGUGGGCAACUGCAGCGGGGUUCUGAUUUUUGUUGCUGCCCCCGUGUAAAGCUUGCCGGAGCCUUGGCGGUCUCGCAGCCAAACAGCCGUCUGUUAGUAAGCCCGUGGGAAGUCGGGGCACCGCAGUGGUGGGGAGGCGAAGGCCACGUUCACUUCCCUCCCUUGUCUCUGGCGCUUAGAGAUUGCCGUGUGUGUGACUCCAGCCCCACAAAGAGCCGGUGGGAGGAGCUGAUUGGUCGGGAGGCUGGGGAUGUUUACUCUUAUUUGUUUUCAGCGCUCCUCCACGGCAUUCAUGCCGUAUUUGUAUUUGUGUUCACGCCGCACAAUUACUCCUCGCCCUGCUUUGUUUCUCUGCCCGAAGAGAAGUCAAUUUUAGUUCAGCUCCCCGGGUUUCGGCCUCCUGGCUAAAAUCCUACGUAUUGCUUUCCCCGGGUCUGCGUUUCCUUUUUUAAUGUGGAUUAGGGGGAAAUCGGUGGCCGGGAAAGCCGUGCAUAUUCAAUCAGUAGCUUUUGAAGCCGCGCCUGUCAGAUAAUUUAAAUAUAUUUACUCUGGGGGUGCCGGAGCUGGCGUGGUCGGAGCCCGUUUUAAUGUACCUCUUCGCUUUCGUCAAGGAGCGGAACCUGCCGGCUCAGAAUGGCGUAUUCUGUGCACCCAACAGGGUGGAAGACAUGAUUUUGUUUGUGUUAGUUCAAACAGCUGGUCAUUAAUGCAGUCCCCAUUUCGCCACUGAAGUGCGGGUGGACGUGAAUGGCUGCCUGAUUAAUGCUGUCCCCUCCGAGGGUCCUUCACCCAGCAGUCAGGCUCGGAGCAGAAUAAUGUAGCAUGAUGUGAUUGCUCUCUAACAGGGUAGUAUGUCAUUGUGUCACCAAGCAAUUGAGGUUAUUACGGGGCAGGGCAGACAGACGGGACAGUGGGGUUACUAGACCGUAGCAUUUUUAGAAAUACAGGCCUGACCUACUUAGAGUUAUUCUCUCUGGCUGGCAGCUGCACGGAGCAUCCAGUCUUCUGAUAGGCUGAGGCUGUUGCUAGGGGGGAAUUAGCCUGAAUUUUUCCACACACAGACUCAGUGACUGAAUGAUAAAAGCUGACUGGAAUUAAAGAGAUUUGGUUUAGUAUUAUACAGAUGGAUCGGCCCCGUUUUUCUUUCUCAAGUGCAAAGGAAGAGUGCAAAAUACAGAUUUUUGUGUCCAUCUUGUUCCUUGACCCUCUGGUUCUCCCCCACCACAGAACCGCCAGAGCAAGGCAGUUAUGAAAUUUCGGUUAAUCUCUUUAAAGUCGGGGGUCAUGGAAAUGAUGUUGCAAAUGGCAAGAUAUUUAAGCUUAAAGACCGCUGAGAAUGACUAACAGAAGGUUAGAUUAUUUUUCCUCUUCUGUGCACUAAACUGUUUUGAAGUUGGGCAUGCAUCUUUCAUGCACUGUAUAUUUAAACUCUCUCCCCCUUUUGGGCUUGAACAAAACAUUUAUAUAAAUUCUCUUCUAUCCAAACAGAUAGAAGCUUGCAGUCUCUGGCUUGUUUAAAAUAAGAUGGUAAGGAUUCCAGAUUUGGAUGGGGGAGAAAAAUAUAUAUAACACUUUUUUUUUUUUUAAUUACAAAGUAUUUUUUUCUGGGAUAUUUUGGGUUUGGCUUAUUUUUUAAAAGCCAGCCUGGUGUUUGUUCUUGUGGAUAAAACUUAACUGCUCCCACCCUACCCUCUUGGCUUCACAAUGUACAGAAAGAUACAGGUUUUUUUUCUCCAGAAGAUAAAGUAUCUGCUGAAUUUAUCUGCAUAUUGUUUUUCCUGGUUGCUCAUAUAAGCACUGUGUGUAGAAAGUUCACAUAAUCAAUUUUAUAUGAUGACACCCCCUUUUUUUUAUCUACUCCUGUAUUCUC
ensembl:lncRNA